ACAAAGCAGUGAUGCAGAGCAAAUCCCCAAAAGCAGUCUUAGUUCGGAUUGUAGGCUGCAACUCGCCUACAUGAAGUCGGAAUUGCUAGUAAUCGCAGAUCAGCAUGCCGCGGUGAAUACGUUCCCGGGCCUUGUACACGCCGCCCGUCACACCAUGGGAGUCGGUAACACCCGAAGCCUGUAGUCUAACCGCAAGGAGGACGCAGUCGAAGGUGGGAUUGAUGACUGGGGUGAAGUCGUAACAAGGUACC
rnacentral:rRNA from 1 species